rnacentral:rRNA from 1 species
GACGAACCGUGCGAACGUUGUUCGGAUUCACUGGGCUUAAAGGGCGCGUAGGCGGCUUGCCAAGUCAGGGGUGAAAUCUCUCGGCUCAACCGGGAAACGGCCUCUGAUACUGGCGGGCUGGAGGGAGGUAGGGGCGGAUGGAACUUCCGGUGGAGCGGUGAAAUGCGUAGAUAUCGGAAGGAACGCCGGUGGCGAAAGCGAUCCGCUGGACCUCUGCUGACGCUGAGGCGCGAAAGCCAGGGGAGCAAACGGG